rnacentral:rRNA from 1 species
UACGUAGGUGGCGAGCGUUGUCCGGAUUUACUGGGCGUAAAGGGAGCGUAGGCGGGCUUUUAAGUGAGAUGUGAAAUACUCGGGCUCAACUUGAGUGCUGCAUUUCAAACUGGAAGUCUAGAGUGCAGGAGAGGAGAAUGGAAUUCCUAGUGUAGCGGUGAAAUGCGUAGAGAUUAGGAAGAACACCAGUGGCGAAGGCGGUUCUCUGGACUGUAACUGACGCUGAGGCUCGAAAGCGUGGGGAGCAAACAGG